rnacentral:rRNA from 1 species
UACGAAGGGGGCUAGCGUUGCUCGGAAUUACUGGGCGUAAAGCGCACGUAGGCGGGUUGUUAAGUCGGGGGUGAAAUCCUGGAGCUCAACUCCAGAACUGCCUUCGAAACUGACGAUCUUGAGUUCGGGAGAGGUGAGUGGAACUGCGAGUGUAGAGGUGAAAUUCGUAGAUAUUCGCAAGAACACCAGUGGCGAAGGCGGCUCACUGGCCCGAUACUGACGCUGAGGCACGAAAGCGUGGGGAGCAAACAGG